rnacentral:rRNA from 1 species
GACGAACGCUGGCGGCGUGCUUAACACAUGCAAGUCGAACGGAAAGGCCCUGCUUUUGUGGGGUGCUCGAGUGGCGAACGGGUGAGUAACACGUGAGUAACCUGUCCUUGACUUUGGGAUAACUUCAGGAAACUGGGGCUAAUACCGGAUAGGAGCUCCUGCUGCAUGGUGGGGGUUGGAAAGUUUCGGCGGCUGGGGAUGGACUCGCGGCUUAUCAGCUUGUUGGUGGGGUAGUGGCUUACCAAGGCUUUGACGGGUAGCCGGCCUGAGAGGGUGACCGGCCACAUUGGGACUGAGAUACGGCCCAGACUCCUACGGGAGGCAGCAGUGGGGAAUAUUGCACAAUGGGCGGAAGCCUGAUGCAGCAACGCCGCGUGCGGGAUGACGGCCUUCGGGUUGUAAACCGCUUUCGCCUGUAACGAAGCGUGAGUGACGGUAAUGGGUAAAGAAGCACCGGCUAACUACGUG